rnacentral:misc_RNA from 1 species
AUCCAACGUCAAGAACAAUGA